CAGCAGCGCGGUAAUACGUAGGGUGCGAGCGUUAAUCGGAUUUACUGGGCGUAAAGCGUGCGCAGGCGGCCCGUUAAGACAGGUGUGAAAUCCCUGGGCUCAACCUAGGAAUUGCGCUUGUGACUGGCGGGCUCGAGUACGGUAGAGGGGGGUGGAAUUCCUGGUGUAGCAGGGAAAUGCGUAGAGAUCAGGAGGAACACCGAUGGCGAAGGCAGCCCCCUGGGCCUGUACUGACGCUCAUGCACGAAAGCGUGGGGAGCAAACAGGAUUAGAUACCCUGGUAGUCCACGCCCUAAACGAUGGGUACUAGCCGUUUGGUGCGCGAUAGCGCUGAGUGGCGAAGCUAACGCGUGAAGUACCCCGCCUGGGGAGUACGGCCGCAAGGUUGAAACUUAAAGGAAUUGGCGGG
rnacentral:rRNA from 1 species